rnacentral:rRNA from 1 species
AUUGUAGGCUGAAACUCGCCUACAUGAAGCUGGAGUUACUAGUAAUCGCAGAUCAGAAUGCUGCGGUGAAUGCGUUCCCGGGUCUUGUACACACCGCCCGUCACACCACGGGAGUUGGAGACGCCCGAAGCCGAUUAUCUAACCUUUUGGAAGAAGUCGUCGAAGGUGGAAUCAAUAACUGGGGUGAAGUCGUAACAAGGUAGCCGUAUCGGAAGGUGCGGCUGGAUCACCUCCUUUCUAAGGAGAAUUG